rnacentral:rRNA from 1 species
AUGCAAGUCGAGGGGGAUCCGGGAGCUUGCUCCCGGUGAGACCGGCGCACGGGUGCGUAACGCGUAUGCAACCUGCCUCCGUCUGGGGGAUAGCCCGGAGAAAUCCGGAUUAACACCGCAUAAAAACACAGUACAGCAUUGUACAAUGUUCAAAUAUUCAUAGGACGGAGAUGGGCAUGCGUGCCAUUAGCUGGUUGGCGGGGUAACGGCCCACCAAGGCGACGAUGGCUAGGGGAUCUGAGAGGAUGGCCCCCCACACUGGUACUGAGACACGGACCAGACUCCUACGGGAGGCAGCAGUAAGGAAUAUUGGUCAAUGGGGGCAACCCUGAACCAGCCAUGCCGCGUGCAGGAAGACAGCCCUACGGGUCGUAAACUGCUUUUGUACGGGAACAAACCCCUCCUCGUGAGGAGGGCUGAGCGUACCGUAAGAAUAAGGAUCGGCUAACUCCGUGCCAGCAGCCGCGGUAAUACGGAGGAUCCGAGCGUUAUCCGGAUUUAUUGGGUUUAAAGGGAGCGUAGGCGGCCCGUUAAGUCAGGGGUGAAAGACGGUGGCUCAACCAUCGCAGUGCCUUUGAUACUGACGGGCUUGAAUACACCUGAGGUAGGCGGAAUGUGGCAAGUAGCGGUGAAAUGCAUAGAUAUGCCACAGAACACCGAUUGCGAAGGCAGCUUACUAAAGUGUGAUUGACGCUGAGGCUCGAAAGCGUGGGGAUCAAACAGGAUUAGAUACCCUGGUAGUCCACGCCCUAAACGAUGAUAACUCGAUGUCGGCGAUAUACGGCCGGCGUCCAAGCGAAAGCGUUAAGUUAUCCACCUGGGGAGUACGCCCGCAAGGGUGAAACUCAAAGGAAUUGACGGGGGCCCGCACAAGCGGAGGAGCAUGUGGUUUAAUUCGAUGAUACGCGAGGAACCUUACCCGGGCUUGAAAGUUACUGAAGGCACUGGAGACAGUGCCGUCCCUCGGGACAGGAAACUAGGUGCUGCAUGGCUGUCGUCAGCUCGUGCCGUGAGGUGUUGGGUUAAGUCCCGCAACGAGCGCAACCCCUAUGUUUAGUUGCCAGCAUGUCAAGGUGGGGACUCUAAACAGACUGCCUACGUAAGUAGAGAGGAAGGUGGGGACGACGUCAAGUCAUCAUGGCCCUUACGUCCGGGGCUACACACGUGCUACAAUGGACGGUACAGAGGGCAGCCACCCCGCAAGGGGGCGCGAAUCUCACAAAGCCGUUCACAGUUCGGAUCGGGGUCUGCAACUCGACCCCGUGAAGUUGGAUUCGCUAGUAAUCGCGUAUCAGCAAUGACGCGGUGAAUACGUUCCCGGGCCUUGUACACACCGCCCGUCAAGCCAUGGAAGCCGGGGGCGCCUAAAGUCCGUGACC